CAGCAGCCGCGGUAAUACGUAGGUGGCAAGCGUUAUCCGGAAUUAUUGGGCGUAAAGCGCGCGUAGGCGGUUUUUUAAGUCUGAUGUGAAAGCCCACGGCUCAACCGUGGAGGGUCAUUGGAAACUGGAAAACUUGAGUGCAGGAGAGAAAAGUGGAAUUCCUAGUGUAGCGGUGAAAUGCGUAGAGAUUAGGAGGAACACCAGUGGCGAAGGCGGCUUUUUGGCCUGUAACUGACACUGAGGCGCGAAAGCGUGGGGAGCAAACAGGAUUAGAUACCCCGGUAGUCCCUGUCUCUUAUAC
rnacentral:rRNA from 1 species